GUGCUAUGGACACGGCAGCUUAUCAAGGUACCGGAGAUUGGGGUAUAGUUAGCAAGGAGAAGUAUAAGUUGCCUGCUAGAAGAUAUCCACAAAAGCCCAGAAAACUUAACUGCCCCUCUUACAUGUCAAAAGGGACCUGCACAUACGGGCCCUCAUGCCACCUCAAUCACCCACCGCAGCUUAAAUCUAGGUCAGAUGAAUCAUGGCGUCCCUCUGAACGAAGGAACCAUGGCGCUGCAGAAAUUCUGGAACUGAACUGCCUUGGCCUUCCCAUUAGAGAAGGAGCAAGAAACUGUGACUACUCUAUGCGAACUGGUGCUUGCAGAUAUGGCAAAAACUGCCAUUUUAACCAUCCAGACCAUGUGAUUGAUGCUCAGUUCAAUCCACCAACAGGGUGGGAGGAUAAUGCUUUGCAAAUGGAGAAAUCUUCUGAUCAUACAUUAGAUGAGACAUCACGCAUGAAGAAAUCUUCCGAUGAUGCGACCUUCGAUGACAGAUCAGACAUGAAGAAAUCUUCCGAUGAUGCGGCGUUAGAUGACAGAUCACACUUGAAGAAACCUUCUGAUGGUGCGAUCGUAGAUGACACAUCAUACUCAAAGAAGUCUUCUGACAAUGACAACUCAUCUAGCUCUGGUGUCCUGCCACCAAGCAUAUUUAGAAUGCUUCUACCUCCCCCAAAAGUACUGCCUAGCACGGAAGGAAAGGCGAAAAAGAAGUCAGACUGGUCAUCAGACGAUUCCGAUGGUUGCUGUUCAGCAGAUAGUUCAGAUGGACCUUUGUGCAAGCAGGGGGAGCACGUGGAUUACGCUGAGAGGCCUGGCAGACCAGAAUAUCACCACCCAAAACAGUCAAAAGACAAAGAAGAGGUAAACUAUCCUGAGAGGCCUGGCAAACCAGAUUGCCCCUUCUACAUGAGAUUUGGUGAUUGUAAAUUUGCAUCAGCAUGCAACUAUCACCACCCAAAAGACAAAUACCCAGCUGGGAGACCUGAUGAACCAGAAUGCCCAUUCCUUAUGAAGCGUGGGUACUUUAAACUUAGGGCACAAUGUAAGUUUUAUCACCCAGAGGCUUCAAAUCCUACCAUGCAGAGCCCAACAGAUGCAAAAAGAUCUGUUACCACUGAUGAACAUCAUCCAUCUACAGGAAUCACAUUACAAGACUAUAUGCUUCCCCAGCAACCGCAGUAUCCUGAGAGGCCUGGUCAGCCGAGUGCCGGUACUACUUGCAGUUUGGGAAAUGCAAAUAUCUGUCUGCAUGUAUAUUUCACCAUCCAAAAGAUGGAGUUGCAGCUCACUCUGAUCAGGUUGGACCUGGCAUGCCAGAUUGUCCUUUCUAUAUGAAAGCUGGGAAAUGUCAAUUUGGAUCAGCAUGUGAAUUUCGUCAUCCCAAAGAUAUACAUUCAAGUUCAACUACAGAGGAAGCAUUUUGUAAGAGAAGUGGGUCUGGGGCGUACCACAAUUUGUCAAGGUCAGAUAAUGGUGUGGAGCAACAAGAGAGCAUCAUGUAUCCUGAAAGGCCCGGUGAACCCAAGUGUGCCCACUACAUGAGGCAGGGCUACUGUUAGUUUCAGAUGAACUGCAAAUACCAUCAUCCAGGAGACCGGCUGUCUAAGAAACAGUAUGUAU